rnacentral:lncRNA from 1 species
ACGCCCCCUUCCCCUGUCUCCUCUGACGUGGAAGAUAAACUAGUUCUUUGCUUUUGGUGCUGUGAGGUGUUUUCCUAGCUCUCCAACACCUGCUUUCGGUGGGUUUCUGCUAUAUACUUGUCCCUUGAAGUAUGUUUACUUUGGUGCCCUUGCUUUUGCAUAUUUGAAAACCCCAUGUUUCGCUUCGGUUUUUCUCUUUGUUUUUCUGUAGCUGGGCUUUUGUGCUAUCUUUACACUCGAUGGCUGAACAGUGAGUACUCUGCUCUUCGUCUUUUAUCUCCUUUUUUAGAUUUGCGUACCUGCAUUAAUGAACUAUAGCUGGCUUGGCAACUUUUAAAUUACUAAUGGUUUUUAUAUGAACUAAUUUACUGUUACAGCUUUAUUUGGAGCUACAUCAAAUUUUUUCUUCCCUUGUUACUCAAUUAUGUAGCUCUCCACUUUUGUUUUCCCACGUAAAAUUCCAUAUUGAUUGGUUAAUGUUGCUUGUUAAUUGGUAUUCUUUAUCAUUGAGUGUUCAAUUCUGAAUUUGCUUUCUCUUGCUUUAAUUCUUCUGUCUUCUAAAUUUUCUGUUUGGAACUGCUUUUGCCCAAAUUCUUUGGCGUGUUAAUGGAUAAUAAAGUUUUACAGAUGGAUAAUGUUUGCUAAUUGUGUCUUUUAUUAUUGGGUGUUCAAUUAUGAAUUUGCUUUCUUUAUGCUUAAUUUUUAGGAUUCUUCUAAAUUUUCCAUUUGAACUGUUUUUUGCCCUCUUCUUGAUUAUUGUCCCGCUUAUGUUAUUGAGUUUCUUUUGUUCUUGUUCUUUGAUGAUCGUGUUAUUACAGCAGUAAGCAAGAACAAUUUGUUCUUUUUUUAUUGAGUUGUUGUUUUGAUGGUUCUCCAAUUAUGUAUAUACAACAAUUAGAAAAAAAAGAACUAAGUGUGAUGAAUACGACAUCCAAAUAGAGAUUUUAUGGGUCUUUUUCAAGUCAAGACGUUGCCAACUCAUCACGGUGAGAAUCUAUGAAGGGUAAAUAGAUAUAAAUAAGAUGAGAAUGACCUUCAUAAUAAGGAAUCUAAAAUUCGGGUCAAAUAAAUUCAGCAAAGAAGAGAAUCAAUGGGUGGAGGUAGCAGAAAAUAGAAGGACAACAGGGGAACAAUCACAUAUUUUCUUCUUGUAAUAUAUAAAUAGAAAACAAAUGUAGGACGUAUGUACCUUGUUUUGUGCCUUUUUUGUUUGUAGGAUGAUCCAUGCAUAUGCGUUAGGAAAGGUAUACUAUGAAGCUUCCUACUUGGACAUGUACAUGUACCCUCGAUUUAACGAUUAUAGUAAUCAUUAUCCCCUCCUAGGAUACUCGGGGAACAAAGGUAAUCAAAUUACAACCUGACUUUCUCCGUCUCUAUCUCUUUCAAGAAUAAUAAUUGCAUUAUUGCAAGUUUCAUAAGUGCUUCUUUGACAAGAUAGUAUCUUCUUUACCUGAGUUGUCGGACCUUUAAACUAACUGAAUUUAUGAUUGUCAUGCAAGGCUUACUAUAAAGACUUUUUAUAAGUACCUCACAAGUAAAACUUUUUGACAAGUGCCUCGGCAAUAAACUUUAAUUGCCUAAAAUAUUAUAUUAAUUCAAAUAGGUCAUGUAAUGUGCACGUUGAGACAAAAUCUCUGUUAUAAUAAUACACAUCUUUUGAUUCACCACAGUGAUACAAUACUUUUUCUAAGUUUUUUUUAACAUACACAAAAUAAACUUAUAGUCCCCGUGAUUCUAUUUUGUUGACUUGUUAAAUUGCAACAACAAAAAACCUAUCCCUUUCUCUCAUUUUUUUUUGCAUUUAUCAUUCUAGAUUUAGCUUUAUGCUAUGUUUUGAUUUUAAUGCUUGGUUUUCUUUUCUUUCAGUAAAUACCAAGAUGAAGGUAUGUGUUGCCAACUAUAGUUGUUAAACUCCAGAUUCUAUCCAAUUGUAGGAUCAAUUUUUUCAUAGCUGGACCACCAACAUGAACAUUAAUAAGCUGAUUGUUUUUGUCUUUCUCAUUCUC